rnacentral:rRNA from 1 species
GACGAACGCUGGCGGCGUGCUUAAAACAUGCAAGUCGAACGGGGUCCAACCACUCGCAAGAGUGGGGAAGACCGAGUGGCGAACGGGUGCGUAACACGUGAGGAACCUGCCCCGGAGACCGGGAUAACCCUCCGAAAGGAGGGCUAAUACCGGAUGUCCUCGUCUGAUCGCAUGGUCGGACGAAGAAAUGGAUUCCGCUCCGGGAUGGCCUCGCGGCCUAUCAGCUUGUUGGUGAGGUAACGGCUCACCAAGGCGACGACGGGUAGCUGGUCUGAGAGGACGAUCAGCCACACUGGGACUGAGACACGGCCCAGACUCCUACGGGAGGCAGCAGUUAGGAAUCUUGCGCAAUGGGCGAAAGCCUGACGCAGCAACGCCGCGU